GACGAACGCUGGCGGCGUGCUUAACACAUGCAAGUCGAACGAAAAGAGGGAAAGAGCUUGCUCUUUCCGGAAUUGAGUGGCAAACGGGUGAGUAACACGUAAACAACCUGCCUUCAGGAUGGGGACAACAGACGGAAACGACUGCUAAUACCGAAUAAGUUCCAAGGGCCGCAUGGCCCAUGGAAGAAAAGGUGGCCUCUACCUGUAAGCUAUCGCCUGAAGAGGGGUUUGCGUCUGAUUAGCUGGUUGGAGGGGUAACGGCCCACCAAGGCGACGAUCAGUAGCCGGUCUGAGAGGAUGAACGGCCACACUGGAAUUGAGACACGGUCCAGACUCCUACGGGAGGCAGCAGUGGGGAAUCUUCCGCAAUGGGCGAAAGCCUGACGGAGCAACGCCGCGUGAGUGAUGACGGCCUUCGGGUUGUAAAACUCUGUGAUCCGGGACGAAAAGGCAGAGUGCGAAGAACAAACUGCAUUGACGGUACCGGAAAAGCAAGCCACGGCUAACUACGUG
rnacentral:rRNA from 1 species